UACGGAGGAUCCAAGCGUUAUUCCGGAUUUAUUGGGUUUAAAGGGUGCGUAGGUGGCCUGUUAAGUCAGGGGUGAAAGACGGUAGCUUAACUAUCGCAGUGCCCUUGAUACUGAUGGGCUUGAAUGAACUAGAGGUAGGCGGAAUGUGACAAGUAGCGGUGAAAUGCAUAGAUAUGUCACAGAACACCAAUUGCGAAGGCAGCUUACUAUGGUUUUAUUGACACUGAGGCACGAAAGCGUGGGGAUCAAACAGG
rnacentral:rRNA from 1 species